UACGGAGGGUGCGAGCGUUAUCCGGAAUUACUGGGUUUAAAGGGUGCGUAGGCGGCGCUGUAAGUCAGGAGUGAAAGUUUGCGGCUCAACCGUAAAAUUGCUUUUGAUACUGCGGUGCUAGAAUUAGGAUGAGGUCAGCGGAAUGUGGCAUGUAGCGGUGAAAUGCAUAGAUAUGCCAUAGAACACCAAUUGCGAAGGCAGCUGGCUAGACCUAUAUUGACGCUGAGGCACGAAAGCGUGGGGAGCGAACAGG
rnacentral:rRNA from 1 species